rnacentral:miRNA from 1 species
AAACCUGAACGAACUUUUUGGC